rnacentral:misc_RNA from 1 species
ACUCUUCAACCCACCGGUUCCUUGUUUGGAUCGAGUUGGUGUUUGGAUCUUGAAUGUUGCUGGCUUAAUUUCUUAGUUGAAGUGAAAGCGUAGCUCGUUCGUAAUACAUUAGCAUCUCAAUUUCUGAACUUCGGAUUGACUCAGCGUUAUAGACUAUUCGCUGAGGACACAAGUAACAUUGUGGCCGAGUUGAAAGAUAACUAGAAGCUUCUAAUCCCUUACUAGUCAAAACUAUAAG